CCCGAAAUAUUAUGAGCUGUUUUCACAUUGUUAAGAACUCACUUCAUCUUGUUGCAAUAAGAUAAGAAAAUGUAAAAACAGAAGCUACAUACUAACCGCAUAAUAUUAUAGCUGGUUUCUUUCUAAAGUUAUGUAAGUAACAAAAAUAUACGAUUAUUAUUCUAAUAUAUAGAGGAAAAGCUCUAUAUAAUUCCCUAUCAAAAAGAAAUUUUCAACAAAAAGUAGACUUAAAAAUAGUCACCUAAAAUAAUGUUAUAAUAUAAUAAAUAAAAUAAUUCUUUCUUUGAUGGCUAUUAGAAAGAGGCAUAUACUAACUAAAUCUAAAAUCUCAAAAUGUUAAAACUAGUAUUAAAAAAUCUCUAAAACAUAAAACCCAACCCAUAUGUAGAAAAGGAACUCGGCAAACCUUUAUUUCGACUGUUUAUCAAAAACAUAGCCUCAUGAUACUAAUAUGAGGUACUUCCUGCCCGGUGAUAAUUUAACGGCCGCAGUACUCUGACUGUGCAAAGGUAGCAUAAUCAUUUGCCUUUUAAUUGAAGGCUGGAAUGAAUGGACCCACGUAAAUAAAGCUGUCUCUCCUACACCAAUAAAAACUAGACUCCAAGUGAAAAUACUUGGAUACCAAUAAAGGACAAAAAGACCCUAUAGAGCUGCAUUCAUAAUAACUCAUAAAGCACAAUAUACUAUAUUUAUUACACCAUGAAUUUUGUUGGGGCGACAAAGGAAUAUAAAAAUCUUCCUGCUAUAAAAAGAAAACAAUUCACUAUAAAGAUCCUUAAAAGAUCAAAGAAAAAAGCUACCUUAGGGAUAACAGGCUAAUCUCCUUAGAGAGUCCAAAUUGACAAGGAGGAUUGGCACCUCGAUGUUGGCUUAAGAUAUCCCCUAGGUGCAGAAGCCUAGAAAGGUUGGUUUGUUCAACCAUUAAAAUCUUACAUGAGCUGAGUUCAGACCGGCGAAAGCCAGGUUAGUUUCUAUCCUUAUUAUAAAAUUUACUAAGUAGUACGAAAGGACCCU
rnacentral:rRNA from 1 species